rnacentral:tRNA from 37 species
CGGAGUGUGGCUCAGCCUGGUAGAGCACUGCGUUCGGGACGCAGGGGUCGGAGGUUCGAAUCCUCUCACUCCGACCA